GAAGUUCCAGAAUCAGAUAUAGCUCAAGCAUGCAGAAAAUUGCUAGAUGAGAGGCAAAGCAUAAACAUUUUACGGUUUCUACAAGCUAUUGGCAGGAGACCAGAUAUCACACAAGGAUUGAAGAAACUACAAUGUCGAACCCUCAUAUUUGUUGGGGAUAGUUCUCCUUUCCAUUCCGAGGCUCUCCACAUGACUGCUAAAUUGGAUAGACGAUUCAGUGCCUUAGUAGAGGUACAGGAGUGUGGAUCAAUGGUGACAGAAGAACAGCCACAUGCAAUGUUGAUACCAAUGGAGUAUUUCCUCAUGGGAUAUGGACUAUACAGACCUAACCAGUUCAGUGGCAGCCCAAGGAGUCCUCUUAGUCCAUCUUGUAUCGCCCCCGAGCUUCUCUCUCCAGAGAGCAUGGGGCUCAAACUCAAACCUAUCAAGACCCGGAUUGAAUCCAAGCUCCCCGGUGCACAAUGAUAAUUUAAUUUGUGUAUUAUAUUGGAAAGAAAAAACCCUCUUUUUAAGUUUUAUUGUUUGUUUGGUUGCAACUCUGGAAGGGUCAGGCAGGGUAGAUAUUUAUAUAUGAUGUGUAGUAUAUAGGAAGUUGAAAUUCUUUUAUGGACAUAUGUAGGGAGAAAAUUGGGUAUUCAUUCAUUGGUAGGCAGAGAAAAAAAGGAUUAUUAAACAUGUUCCCACUUUCAGUUGUAUUUGUAAAUUAGAAAAAAAAGAGACAUU
rnacentral:misc_RNA from 1 species